rnacentral:rRNA from 1 species
GAUGAACGCUGGCGGCAGGCCUAACACAUGCAAGUCGAGCGGAUGAGUGGAGCUUGCUCCAUGAUUCAGCGGCGGACGGGUGAGUAAUGCCUAGGAAUCUGCCUGGUAGUGGGGGACAACGUUUCGAAAGGAACGCUAAUACCGCAUACGUCCUACGGGAGAAAGUGGGGGAUCUUCGGACCUCACGCUAUCAGAUGAGCCUAGGUCGGAUUAGCUAGUUGGUGAGGUAAAGGCUCACCAAGGCGACGAUCCGUAACUGGUCUGAGAGGAUGAUCAGUCACACUGGAACUGAGACACGGUCCAGACUCCUACGGGAGGCAGCAGUGGGGAAUAUUGCACAAUGGGCGAAAGCCUGAUGCAGCGACGCCGCGUGAGCGAUGAAGG